rnacentral:rRNA from 1 species
CAGUCGAGCGGUAGCACAGAGAGCUUGCUCUCGGGUGACGAGCGGCGGACGGGUGAGUAAUGUCUGGGAAACUGCCUGAUGGAGGGGGAUAACUACUGGAAACGGUAGCUAAUACCGCAUAACGUCGCAAGACCAAAGUGGGGGACCUUCGGGCCUCAUGCCAUCAGAUGUGCCCAGAUGGGAUUAGCUAGUAGGUGGGGUAACGGCUCACCUAGGCGACGAUCCCUAGCUGGUCUGAGAGGAUGACCAGCCACACUGGAACUGAGACACGGUCCAGACUCCUACGGGAGGCAGCAGUGGGGAAUAUUGCACAAUGGGCGCAAGCCUGAUGCAGCCAUGCCGCGUGUGUGAAGAAGGCCUUCGGGUUGUAAAGCACUUUCAGCGGGGAGGAAGGCGAUAAGGUUAAUAACCUUGGCGAUUGACGUUACCCGCAGAAGAAGCACCGGCUAACUCCGUGCCAGCAGCCGCGGUAAUACGGAGGGUGCAAGCGUUAAUCGGAAUUACUGGGCGUAAAGCGCACGCAGGCGGUCUGUCAAGUCGGAUGUGAAAUCCCCGGGCUCAACCUGGGAACUGCAUUCGAAACUGGCAGGCUAGAGUCUUGUAGAGGGGGGUAGAAUUCCAGGUGUAGCGGUGAAAUGCGUAGAGAUCUGGAGGAAUACCGGUGGCGAAGGCGGCCCCCUGGACAAAGACUGACGCUCAGGUGCGAAAGCGUGGGGAGCAAACAGGAUUAGAUACCCUGGUAGUCCACGCCGUAAACGAUGUCGAUUUGGAGGUUGUGCCCUUGAGGCGUGGCUUCCGGAGCUAACGCGUUAAAUCGACCGCCUGGGGAGUACGGCCGCAAGGUUAAAACUCAAAUGAAUUGACGGGGGCCCGCACAAGCGGUGGAGCAUGUGGUUUAAUUCGAUGCAACGCGAAGAACCUUACCUGGUCUUGACAUCCACAGAACUUUCCAGAGAUGGAUUGGUGCCUUCGGGAACUGUGAGACAGGUGCUGCAUGGCUGUCGUCAGCUCGUGUUGUGAAAUGUUGGGUUAAGUCCCGCAACGAGCGCAACCCUUAUCCUUUGUUGCCAGCGGUUAGGCCGGGAACUCAAAGGAGACUGCCAGUGAUAAACUGGAGGAAGGUGGGGAUGACGUCAAGUCAUCAUGGCCCUUACGACCAGGGCUACACACGUGCUACAAUGGCAUAUACAAAGAGAAGCGACCUCGCGAGAGCAAGCGGACCUCAUAAAGUAUGUCGUAGUCCGGAUUGGAGUCUGCAACUCGACUCCAUGAAGUCGGAAUCGCUAGUAAUCGUAGAUCAGAAUGCUACGGUGAAUACGUUCCCGGGCCUUGUACACACCGCCCGUCACACCAUGGGAGUGGGUGCAAAAGAAGUAGGUAGCUUAACCU